GACAACGUGUCUGAAAUACCUGGUGCUCGCCAACAUGCUAAUGAAGUCAGGAAUAAAUCCUUUUGAUUCACAAGAGGCCAAACCAUACAAAAAUGACCCAGAGAUUCUAGCAAUGACAAACUUAGUAAGCGCCUACCAGAACAAUGACAUCACUGAAUU